AGAGUUUGAUCAUGGCUCAGAUUGAACGCUGGCGGCAUGCCUUACACAUGCAAGUCGAACGGCAGCACGGGUGCUUGCACCUGGUGGCGAGUGGCGAACGGGUGAGUAAUACAUCGGAACAUGUCCUGUAGUGGGGGAUAGCCCGGCGAAAGCCGGAUUAAUACCGCAUACGAUCUACGGAUGAGAGCGGGGGACCUUCGGGCCUCGCGCUAUAGGGUUGGCCGAUGGCUGAUUAGCUAGUUGGUGGGGUAAAGGCCUACCAAGGCGACGAUCAGUAGCUGGUCUGAGAGGACGACCAGCCACACUGGGACUGAGACACGGCCCAGACUCCUACGGGAGGCAGCAGUGGGGAAUUUUGGACAAUGGGCGAAAGCCUGAUCCAGCAAUGCCGCGUGUGUGAAGAAGGCCUUCGGGUUGUAAAGCACUUUUGUCCGGAAAGAAAUCCUUGGCUCUAAUACAGUCGGGGGAUGACGGUACCGGAAGAAUAAGCACCGGCUAACUACGUGCCAGCAGCCGCGGUAAUACGUAGGGUGCGAGCGUUAAUCGGAAUUACUGGGCGUAAAGCGUGCGCAGGCGGUUUGCUAAGACCGAUGUGAAAUCCCCGGGCUCAACCUGGGAACUGCAUUGGUGACUGGCAGGCUAGAGUAUGGCAGAGGGGGGUAGAAUUCCACGUGUAGCAGUGAAGUGCGUAGAGAUGUGGAGGAAUACCGAUGGCGAAGGCAGCCCCCUGGGCCAAUACUGACGCUCAUGCACGAAAGCGUGGGGAGCAAACAGGAUUAGAUACCCUGGUAGUCCACGCCCUAAACGAUGUCAACUAGUUGUUGGGGAUUCAUUUCCUUAGUAACGUAGCUAACGCGUGAAGUUGACCGCCUGGGGAGUACGGUCGCAAGAUUAAAACUCAAAGGAAUUGACGGGGACCCGCACAAGCGGUGGAUGAUGUGGAUUAAUUCGAUGCAACGCGAAAAACCUUACCUACCCUUGACAUGGUCGGAAUCCCGCUGAGAGGUGGGAGUGCUCGAAAGAGAACCGGCGCACAGGUGCUGCAUGGCUGUCGUCAGCUCGUGUCGUGAGAUGUUGGGUUAAGUCCCGCAACGAGCGCAACCCUUGUCCUUAGUUGCUACGCAAGAGCACUCUAAGGAGACUGCCGGUGACAAACCGGAGGAAGGUGGGGAUGACGUCAAGUCCUCAUGGCCCUUAUGGGUAGGGCUUCACACGUCAUACAAUGGUCGGAACAGAGGGUUGCCAACCCGCGAGGGGGAGCUAAUCCCAGAAAACCGAUCGUAGUCCGGAUUGCACUCUGCAACUCGAGUGCAUGAAGCUGGAAUCGCUAGUAAUCGCGGAUCAGCAUGCCGCGGUGAAU
rnacentral:rRNA from 1 species